rnacentral:lncRNA from 1 species
GACCAGUAACCUCUACUGCAACAGUGACCUCUUCUGGACCGCAACAGCGGCAGCGACCCGCCCACAAAGCUACUUCCGUUUUGGGCACUUCACACAAGGACCUCGGGGAAAAAGACAUGGGUUCUUGAAGCAGCCACAGAAGACCAUCUUGCCUUCAAGCGGUUUUCAGAAGCCAUCGAGAUGGAAACAGUGGAGGGUCCUUGGUGCGGGAGGUGA